AUAAAUACUUCUCUAUGGUGUAUUCCGUAAAAAAAAAGACAGAAUUGCUAAUUUAUUCUUAGUUGCCACUGAAAAACAUAAUAACAAGCGAUGAAAAAGUGCCAUUUACUAGAAAAUGAUACCAAUGAAAAAUUCAAGUCGUCCCUCAAAAAUCAAGCCCUCACACAACUCCAUAGAAAAACUAAUAAAAACGUUAUGGGUCUUGGGAAGUGGCAAUG